AAAUGAAAUUACUUAUGAAGUUUAUAACUGAUUUGCAAUCAGUUAAUAUGUUGUACAUACUUCAAUAUA
rnacentral:tRNA from 1 species